rnacentral:lncRNA from 1 species
CCACAAGCAACUUUCAUAAACUAACAAUAAUUUUCAAAGAAAAGAGUUUUUUUUUUUUUCUUUUUUUUUUUUACCUGUACUCAUCGUCGAGAUCAGGGACUUGAGCGAUGUUUGACUCAGGGAGGUGGCGGAGGAAGAAGGUGCUCUCCCAGUCCAAGUCCUUGAUCUCAGUUUGGACACCCUCAAGGCCUUUGCUUGCCACCAUUUCCUUGAACCUCUGCUCCAUGCAUUUUUUAUAGUGACCCUUUGUCUUUCUUUCUACUUCAUCCAAUAACUCAGGUUCUAUU